rnacentral:lncRNA from 1 species
CGGGGACUCACUCUUUUCUCUAUGGGGAACCCUGGAACCCUGGAAACACACCAUUCUCUGUGAGGGGAGGUAUGGGGACCUGCCCUUUUCUGUGAGGGGGACCCCAAGGACACGACCUCCUCUAUGUAGGAAGCCCUGAGAACUCACUAUUAUCAGUGAGGGGAACCCUGGGGACAAGCCCUGUUCUGUGAGGUAAGACCUGUGGACCUGCUCUUUACUGUGAGGGGAACCACUGGGACCUGCCCUUCUCUGUGAAGGCAGUCUCAGAGACCCAAACUUUUCUGUGAUGGGAGCCCUAGGGACCUGACCUCCUCCGUGAAGGAAGCCCUAAGGACACGCCCUUUACUGUGAGGGGAACCCUGGGGACCUGCCCUUCUCUGUGAGGGGAGCCCCCAGAUCGGCCUUCUUUAGUAAGGGAAGCCCUAGGGAUCCACCAUCCUCUGUGAGGGGAAUUGAAACCUGCCCUCAUCUGUGAGGGAAACUCUGAGGACCUGCCCUCCUCUAUCAGGGGAGCCCUGAGGACCCACGCUUUUGUCUAAGGGGAACCCCAAAGACUCGACCUCUUCUGUGAAGAAAGGAUCCACCAUUUUCAGUGAGGGGAACCCUGGAGACCAGCCCUCUUCUGUGAGGAAGGACCUGGGGACCCACCCUUUACUGGGAAAAGAACCCUGAGGACCCACCUGCCUCUGUCAGGGGAGCCCUGGGGACCUGCUCUACGUUAAAUGAAUAGCUGCAAACAGAGCUCAAGUUGUCAUCCCUGUGGGAGUGGGAUUAUGUCUCCUGGAACUCUAUGGAGAAAACCUCUCAAACUCACUGGAGCAAACAGCACCUGUAGACUCAGCGCGGGAGCGCCUCUUCCCUCUACAGCUCCACAGACAUCACUGCACUCCCAGCAGCACAGGCAGGAGCCUGCACCAGGAAAAGCUCAGGGAUGUGCUGGCCCACUCCUCUCCUCUGACCCUUGAGGACCCAGGUCUAGGGGGGAUUAAGAAAUAUGCCAUAGGAAAAAUAAAUGCAAGAGCUGAAUGGAACUAGAAUCUCUGUCGCUGGACUCCUAGCUCAGUCCCUUUCAAGCUGUUAUUUAGGAUUAUCAUCGGACUGCCCUGGGCCUCCAAUUUUCAGGAGUUUUUCACCCCACCCAGAGUUUUAAGGCACUCAUUGUGAAUUACACAAAUCAUGGAUGUAGCCCUGCUAGCGCUAAGCAAUAAGUUGUCCUGCAUCGCCCCCUGGUGGGCUUUUGAGCUAUAGUCAUAUUAAAUAUAUUAAAUUUCUAGGAAGGACUGAAGUGGCUGGACCCUACCUCUGUGAUACCUUAAUUCCUCCAAGACUGUAAGACGGUCGGCUCCAUCCACGCACUCCCUC